rnacentral:rRNA from 1 species
UACGUAGGGGGCUAGCGUUGUCCGGAAUCAUUGGGCGUAAAGAGCGUGUAGGCGGCCCGGUAAGUCCGCUGUGAAAGUCGGGGGCUCAACCCUCGAAUGCCGGUGGAUACUGUCGGGCUAGAGUGCGGAAGAGGCGAGUGGAAUUCCUGGUGUAGCGGUGGAAUGCGCAGACAUCAGGAGGAACACCAAUAGCGAAGGCAGCUUGCUGGGACGGUACUGACGCUAAGGCGCGAAAGCGUGGGGAGCGAACAGG